CCCAGACUCCUACGGGAGGCAGCAGUGGGGAAUAUUGCACAAUGGGGGAAACCCUGAUGCAGCGACGCCGCGUGAGCGAUGAAGUAUUUCGGUAUGUAAAGCUCUAUCAGCAGGGAAGAAAAUGACGGUCCCUGACUAAGAAGCCCCGGCUAACUACGUGCCAGCAGCCGCGGUAAUACGUAGGGGGCAAGCGUUAUCCGGAUUUACUGGGUGUAAAGGGAGCGUAGACGGUGAAGUAAGUCUGGAGUGAAAGGCGGGGGCCCAACCCCCGGACUGCUCUGGAAACUAUUUGACUGGAGUGCAGGAGAGGGAAGCGGAAUUCCUAGUGUAGCGGUGAAAUGCGUAGAUAUUAGGAGGAACACCAGUGGCGAAGGCGGCUUACUGGACUGUAACUGACGUUGAGGCUCGAAAGCGUGGGGAGCAAACAGGAUUAGAUACCCAUGUACAA
rnacentral:rRNA from 1 species